rnacentral:snRNA from 1 species
GGCGAUUAAUCUCCUCUU